UACGAAGGGGGCUAGCGUUGCUCGGAAUGACUGGGCGUAAAGGGCGCGUAGGCGGUUUGCACAGUCAGAUGUGAAAUUCCUGGGCUCAACCUGGGGGCUGCAUUUGAUACGUGUAGACUUGAGUGGGGAAGAGGGUCGUGGAAUUGCCAGUGUAGAGGUGAAAUUCGUAGAUAUUGGGAAGAACACCGGUGGCGAAGGCGGCGACCUGGUCCUUGACUGACGCUGAGGCGCGAAAGCGUGGGGAGCAAACAGG
rnacentral:rRNA from 1 species